CACACACACACACACACUGAACUGGCCAGUAUUGCUAAUCUUCUUAGCAAUCACAAGGUUUGACUGUUGAAAGAGUGCAAAGUUCACAUCAUCAACAACAACAGAGGUUCCUGCCAAUGAGGGAGAACUGAAGAGUCAGAUAAAGAAGACAGACAGUCAUAAAAGACGAGAGCAUUAAUCGAAUCACAGCCGUUACCUCUGGACUGAAGCAGCCAUCUUUACUCCAUGAGGAAUUAUUCUUUGGAUUAUUACCUUCAGCAGUGAAACCUGAUGUCAUACACUGACGCUGACUGAACUUUAAAGCUUUUAAGUCUUAAAGUUAUGUGACAGCCAUCGUGAAAACGUCACCUUUGACUUCCAUUUAAUUCCUGGCUGGUGAAGAAGAUACACAUCAGCACAGACAGCUGUCAUGACAACUGUGCAUUAGCUCACUGAUCAUAUUUGGCAGCCAUCUGGAGGUCAUUCCUACCUACAUCCAUUUAAACUUGUCUCUCCGGGGAACCUGAAGACGGAGCAGUAUGGAGGUGCUCAGUGGCCCCUGGGCUGACUUGGCUCUGCUCCUGCGACGGACCAUCGCGCAGACACACGGAGAGACGGACAGCUUUCUUCCUCUCUGGCUGUUUGGCCUGCUGCUGUUCCUGUCUGUCUGUCUGCUGCUGCUGCAACUCAUCAUCUACCUCAGCUGGAAACUCAGACAGGUUGAGGCAGAUCUUUCUGGGUUUCCACAAGACAGAGGCGCCAUCUACAGGCAGAUACACAGAAGUACAGCGCAGAGGAGGAGGAGUGUUGGGUUGCACUCUCACACCUGACAGCAGACACACACCUCAUCAACACAACAGACUCUCAAAACCUGCUGAAAUGAACUCUCGUCUGACUGUUUCAAACAGUGCUGUCAGUCAGCGUGGGUAUCUGUGCAGAGACACGUGACCAGCGUGGACAUAUCCCAGGCAGGAUGAAGGUGCCUUAAGAAGUAACUAAAAUCCUUAGUUAUAAUAAAAUCUGUGAAAAUUCUUUUUGUUUAAAACCCUCAGGGAAAUCUGGAAGUUAUUAAGACAACUGUCUCUAAACUUCUCUGACAUCAUUAUGAAGCUACAGGCAUCUCCUGGAGCUGUAUUUAUUUUCCACCCUCUCGUUAAAUUUGAGAAACUGUCACCCUGAAAUUAUCAUUUUUGUACAGCUCUAAGUUUCAUUAUUAGACUGUCUGUGCAACAAUACUGGAGACUGGUUAGUUUUUUAAAUGAACCAAUAAAUGGAUAAAGAAAUGAUGUGACCGAGACAUGUCAGAGUAUAACAAUCCUUUAUUUAAACAGUGUUACACGGGGGAGGAGUGGCUGUGUGUGGGGAGAGACACAAGACAGUGAAGCUGCUAGAUAGAAAAACCCUACCAGUGAUCAUUGGUUGGCUAAAGACGGAGCGAAGAGGCAGCUGGGGUCGGUUUUCCAAAAAUGUUCCUUUACAAAGUUUC